rnacentral:rRNA from 1 species
GGGUUGUGAGGUUAAGCGACUAAGCGUACACGGUGGAUGCCCUGGCAGUCAGAGGCGAUGAAGGGCGUGCUAAUCUGCGAUAAGCGCCGGUAAGGUGAUAUGAACCGUUAUAACCGGCGAUACCCGAAUGGGGAAACCCAGUGUGACUCGUCACACUAUCAUUAACUGAAUCCAUAGGUUAAUGAGGCGAACCGGGGGAACUGAAACAUCUAAGUACCCCGAGGAAAAGAAAUCAACCGAGAUUCCCCCAGUAGCGGCGAGCGAACGGGGAGGAGCCCAGAGCCUGAAUCAGCAUGUGUGUUAGUGGAAGCGUCUGGAAAGGCGCGCGAUACAGGGUGACAGCCCCGUACACAAAAGCGCAUGUGCUGUGAGCUCGAUGAGUAGGGCGGGACACGUGGUAUCCUGUCUGAAUAUGGGGGGACCAUCCUCCAAGGCUAAAUACUCCUGACUGACCGAUAGUGAACCAGUACCGUGAGGGAAAGGCGAAAAGAACCCCGGCGAGGGGAGUGAAAAAGAACCUGAAACCGUGUACGUACAAGCAGUGGGAGCCCCACCACUAAGCCAGUGGUGAACUCCACAUACGCAUCCUUUGCUGAGGAUACGGUUAACGGAGCGCAAGCGACGUUCAACCUCAAAAGAAGCAGAGGGGGCUUAGUGGUGG